GCCUUUACAGAGAAACCUCACCUCACCACUACUUAAAGCCAAUGUCAGAUAAAAAGUGAACACAUGAAUGACUGGUCAAUGUCUUUGAGAGUCUGCAUGAACUAAGAUGAUGUUCAUCUAUUAAUCAUGUUCAGUGGGAGAUUACAAAAUGUUAAAAUGUAUGAAAAUGUUACUGUUACCUUGUUGUUGUAAGAUACAUGAAUAUGUGGAGUUCAUAGUUAAAGGUUUGGAGUUAAGGGGAGGGGUAUUUUUGACAUACUCUUGCUGUAUUUCCUGAUUUACUUUGUUGUUAAUUUUAUCCCCUUUGCUUACCCUCAGGUUCAGUAACUGUACAUAUGUUUUCCAUUGUUGUUGUAUGUUUUCUCUUCGUUGUUUUAUAGUUUCUUGUACGUUUGUCGUGUUAUAUGUUCCUACUCUUAGCCUGCACCUUGUCGUGGUGAGUGGGCUUUCAACCAAGACAGGCCGUACUAAAUGUUUAAAACCAGUGUUAUUAACUUAUUUUCUCUCUCAUGUAGUACGAUGUAGGACACUAGGGAGUGUCAUGGCUGUCUUUCUGUGGGCGCGAUGAUCCAAUUAACACUCUGUGGCUGAAAGAUUGCUGUUCAUUCCAUCUAACUCCUCAGACGUGCACACCUACUCUCCAUCAACUCAUCAACUCAACAGUAUAUAUACCCCGGCUCUCAAUCCACUCGCCAGAUCGUUCUUUCAGCUACGGUUCACCCACCUGCCUUCUUGGAUUCAAAGCCUCUCAAUCAACCAGGCUCACAUCGCAACUCUGCUCUGAUCAGCCGUCUCCCUUUCACUCUGCAGACCUUGUGAAUCAUCGUCUCAUCUCCCUUCCUCUGCAAUAAACCUCAUUACAAGUCAA